UCAUCUUCUGUUUCUUGAGGUAGGUUCCACAUUCAGUCCUGAUGUGUCCAUACCUAUCACAUUCAUAGCACUAUACCUCUUUUCCUUCUUUGAGCUUCUCAUCUGAUCUUGCUCUUCUUCCAGCAUUGUUGGAUUUACUAAUGUCAGAUGAGAUGUUCUUGACAUUUGUCUUAGAUCUUACAUCCAUCUUUUUCAACAGUUUAUUGAACUGUCUUCCCAGCAUUGCUACUUCAUUGACCAAAUCUUCAUCAACCUCCUGACUC
rnacentral:lncRNA from 1 species